UACGUAGGGUGCAAGCGUUGUCCGGAAUUAUUGGGCGUAAAGGGCUCGUAGGCGGUCUGUCACGUCGGGAGUGAAAACUCGGGGCUUAACCCCGAGCCUGCUUCCGAUACGGGCAGACUAGAGGUAUGCAGGGGAGAAUGGAAUUCCUGGUGUAGCGGUGAAAUGCGCAGAUAUCAGGAGGAACACCGGUGGCGAAGGCGGUUCUCUGGGCAUUACCUGACGCUGAGGCGCGAAAGCGUGGGGAGCAAACAGG
rnacentral:rRNA from 1 species